UGAAACCAAACUGACAAAAGAAAAACAACUUCAGAAAUCGAUUCCCUCAGUGCCUACUAACCAAAUUCGGCACAAGCACAACCCCCAGUCGAAACUUCUAGCUAGAGUUUUCCCCAAAUGGCACAGCUCUCCUCACAGCUCUCCUCACAUAACAACUCCUUGAAUUUCUCCUAAAAUUUCUCCCCUUAUCUCUACUUGAUUCAUUCCACCCAAUCACAAUCCUACUAUUCUCUCCCUAAUUCACUCCUCCAUUCAAAUUCCACAGCAUUUCAGUCAAACUCCACCACCUCACAGCACAAGUGAUAAAAAUAAACACUCCACAG
rnacentral:lncRNA from 1 species